CAGCCGCCGCUGUAAUACGUAGGGUGCGAGCGUUGUCCGGAAUUAUUGGGCGUAAAGAGCUUGUAGGUGGUUUGUCGCGUCUGCUGUGAAAAUCCGAGGCUCAACCUCGGACUUGCAGUGGGUACGGGCAGACUAGAGUGUGGUAGGGGAGACUGGAAUUCCUGGUGUAGCGGUGGAAUGCGCAGAUAUCAGGAGGAACACCGAUGGCGAAGGCAGGUCUCUGGGCCAUUACUGACACUGAGAAGCGAAAGCAUGGGGAGCGAACAGGAUUAGAUACCCCAGUAGUCCCUGUCUCUUAUAC
rnacentral:rRNA from 1 species